rnacentral:rRNA from 1 species
CCUACGGGUGGCAGCAGUAGGGAAUAUUGCUCAAUGGGGGAAACCCUGAAGCAGCAACGCCGCGUGGAGGAUGAAGGUUUUCGGAUUGUAAACUCCUUUUGUUAGAGAAGAUAAUGACGGUAUCUAACGAAUAAGCACCGGCUAACUCCGUGCCAGCAGCCGCGGUAAUACGGAGGGAGCAAGCGUUACUCGGAAUCACUGGGCGUAAAGAGAGCGUAGGCGGCAUAGCAAGUCAGAUGUGAAAUCCUAUGGCUGAACCAUAGAACUGCAUUUGAAACUGUUAGUCUAGAGUAUGGGAGAGGUAGGUGGAAUUCUUGGUGUAGGGGUAAAAUGCGUAGAUAUCAAGAGGAAUAC